AACAAGGUCUCCGUUGGUGAACCAGCGGAGGGAUCAUUACAGAGUUAUCUAACUCCCAAACCCAUGUGAACUUACCUUUGUUGCCUCGGCAGAAGCUACCCUGUACCUACCUGGAACAGCCUACCUGGAGCGAUCCGGGCUGGCCUACCUGGAACGGUCUGGUGGUCGACUGCCGGUGGACCAUUCAACUCUUGUUAUUUUAUUGUAAUCUGAGCGUCUUAUUUUAAUAAGUCAAAACUUUCAACAACGGAUCUCUUGGUUCUGGCAUCGAUGAAGAACGCAGCGAAAUGCGAUAAGUAAUGUGAAUUGCAGAAUUCAGUGAAUCAUCGAAUCUUUGAACGCACAUUGCGCCCAUUAGUAUUCUAGUGGGCAUGCCUGUUCGAGCGUCAUUUCAACCCUUAAGCCUAGCUUAGUAUUGGGAAUCUACUGUAUUGUAGUUCCUCAAAUUCAACGGCGGAUCUGUGGUAUCCUCUGAGCGUAGUAAAUUUUUAUCUCGCUUUUGUCAGGUGCUGCAGCUCCCAGCCGCUAAACCCCCAAUUUUUUAAUGGUUGACCUCGGAUCAGGUAGGAAUACCCGCUGAACUUAAGCAUAUCAAUAA
rnacentral:misc_RNA from 1 species